rnacentral:rRNA from 1 species
GGCUCAGGACGAACGCUGGCGGCGUGCCUAAUACAUGCAAGUCGAACGGUCUUUCUAUGGAAGCUUGCUUCCACUGAGAAGAUAGUGGCGAACGGGUGAGUAACACGUGGGUAACCUGCCCAUAAGAGGGGGAUAACAUCCGGAAACGGGUGCUAAUACCGCAUAGUUUUCUUGAUCGCAUGAUUGAGAAAGGAAAGACGGCCUUUGUGCUGUCGCUUAUGGAUGGACCCGCGGCGUAUUAGUUAGUUGGUGAGGUAACGGCUCACCAAGACGAUGAUACGUAGCCGACCUGAGAGGGUGAUCGGCCACAUUGGGACUGAGACACGGCCCAAACUCCUACGGGAGGCAGCAGUAGGGAAUCUUCCGCAAUGGACGAAAGUCUGACGGAGCAACGCCGCGUGAGUGAAAGAAGGUUUUCGGAUCGUAAAACUCUGUUGUCAGAGAAGAACAAGUUGGAGAGUAACUGCUCCAGCCUUGACGGUAUCUGACCAGAAAGCCACGGCUAACUACGUGCCAGCCGCCGC